GGCUCUGCGUUUGGAUCUUGGCGGGCUCCGGGCGCGCCUCUCCAUUGGCUGCGCGGCGCAGGGGUGGGGCUCCGUCUCCCGCCAUUUUGGGCGUGCGUUACUUCAGUGAUCUGAUGAAUUCCAAAAUGAAACAAAGCCUGAACGUGGAGAACCCAUCUGGAUCUCUGCAGAAGUACUUCACAGACACUGCAUGCAGUGCUGCCCCAAGACGGACUCUUAAGAUGAUUCAGCCUUCUGCAAAAGGUUCCCUGGUUGGAAGGUGUAAUGAGAAGAAAUCUUCAGUCAAGAGGAAACUCUGGAAUAACCGGCUUACCUCUUCAGCUUGUAAAGCUGAGGAAUCUGUGGACAGAGAGCAAGAAAAUGAGAAUACAGACGAUGUUAUUCAAGCUGUAGAUCUCAUAAAAAAAAGUCCUUCAUCUCAAUAUUGGAAAGAAGUGGCUGAAGAAAGGAGGAAGGCUCUGUAUGAAGUGCUUCAAGAAAAUGAAAAGUUGCACAAAGAGAUCGAACAAAAAGAUGGUGAAAUCGCCCGCCUAAAGGAGGAAAAUGAGGAGCUCAUGUCACUGGCUGAACACGUGCAUUAUUUGACCAGCAUGAUCGAGAGGCUAACGGGGCAAGAAUCUGAUAAUCUUGAGACACUGGAAAGUCUGGCUUUAGAUGAAUCCAAGCAAGAAAAUGAAGAACUUAACCUUGGUGGUGAUGCAGACAGCACUUCUUCAGAAGGGCCAUCACAAGCAUUGUGUGACUUAAGGAAGAGUGUCUUGCUUCAAGUGAAGGAAAUUAACAACUGUGACCUUAAGUAGGCUUAUGUAUGUGGAUUCUUUUAAUUGCAGACUUCCCCUUGAAAGGACAUACUACAUCUUCUCAGCCUGUGGUCACAGUUUGAUCUUUUGCUGAUGGACCUUAAAGUUUCACAGAUGUGGGAUGCAUUUACUGGGUCCUGGCACUUUUCCACAAAGAAAUGUGCACGCCUUGAGGACAGAAUGUCAGAUCUGCCAACUGACCAUGAUGAAAUGUGAUUGGUCAUGUUCAAGGCCAAACCCUGGGGACAGCGAUACCUCUGGGGCACCUAAACCAGCUGAAGAGGAGCACUGUGGGUUCUAUCAUCAGCAGCAGGAGGUACCUGUUUCUGCAAGCCCUGGACAUUCCUCGUUCACAGUGGCAGCAAAAUUGAUAUCCAACUGCUUCAUCAUCUUGUCUGCAGAUGUGUGAUAGACUCCUGAAGGACCAGUGCACUUCAUCCAGAAAGCCAGCAGUGACAGCUUCUUGUGGAACUCGGGGAUUGCUGAAGGAGAAGACAAAAUGAAUGAUGAAGCAAAGCUGUGCUCAGUGCACUCUCUUUCUAAAGGGAAAUGUGAUAUGUGUGGAGAACAUCCACUCCAUGUCACUGAUGGUCACCCUGUGUCACUGCCUUCACAGAGGUGGUCGCAUGCUGACCCCAAGUUUGUGAUGUGUUAUUUCUGUUUCCUGAAGGAAGAUGUGAGGAAAAUCUGCUUCUGAUCCAGUUCUGGACACUGUCUCAUCUCUUUUAAAUACCAUGAAUUACUAGGGGAAAUAAAUGGUCUGCAUGAGACUGGUCCCUAUCCAAGCACUGCUCUGUAGCCUUGGGUAAGUUACUCCAUUUGGGACACACUGAGGAGUUGUCUUAUGACUCCUGUAGCAUAAGGCAGAUCUUGAAUUUCCUCGAGAAAGAGGUGGAGGACAAAUUUGGCUGCCAAAGUGGCAGCAUCCCCACCCUGUUGCUGCAGCUACCCCUGCUCACCUUCUGCAUGUCAAGCAGGAUAAGGAUCAGUACAACCCCUUCUCACCUGCUUAUUUCUGAAUAGGAGUACAUAAGACAGAAUAAGGCAAGGCUGGAGAAGGCCUAGGCAACAUGAUCUAGCUGUGAUGUCCUUGUCUAUUGCAGGGGAACUGGACUAGACAGCCCUCAGAGAUCUCUUCUAACUCUAAGGAUUCUAUGAAUAAGGUCCCUGACCAGCUUCAGUGACUGCUACAUCUGUUUGUGAGUUGUCUCCUGCUACGGUGCACUCCCUGCAGUUAAUUACAGUGGUUAUUUCGGCUAGCCUCCUGCCCAAACCAGCCCUUUUCAGAAGGAAGACCCCCUAAUGUUUCUCUUACCAUCAGUAAGGGAGGUGAUGCUUCCCAAGUUCUCGGUGCUGAUCUCUGCAAUAUUCUCCAUCACAAGAGUCUGCCUGGACAGCUUAUCAAGGAGGUCUCUUGUCACAAAUGGUGUUUUACCAGAGAAGACAAUUUGCUAAUGGAGACAAGGUGGAAAGGAAGAAAAGGAGUCAUUUUGAAGCUUCAAAACAAAACUUAAACCUCUGAAACACCUGGCACCUGAAGAAAUGCAAUGGCAAAUUCUUUGCCUGGAAUUAUCAAAUAUUUCUUGUUGCUCUGCUCUGUUUUGGCUCUGAUCCCCUGCCCAGCUGCCUCUGUUUGGUGCUUUCCCAUGGCCAAUACUCCCUGCUGCUGACAUCUGUAUUUUCUUCAGCAGUCCAACAUCAUUCAUAUCAAACCUGGACAGUGUUCAAGCCUGCCUCCCUCAGCUGCAUAUUUACUGUGCACUCUUGUAGACGAGCCCAAAACUCCCUUUUUCUCAUACUUGUGAGUCAGCAGCGUCCAGCUUAGUGCUAAGGGUACUGGGAUUAGAGUUGUUCUGCAUUGCUACAGUGGGCUUCUGGUUAUAUCUGAGGUUGAAGAGUCUUCUCCCAAAUGCUGGGACUGUUGUGGUGGGGGUGAAGAAUAUGGGGAGGGGAGGCUCCUACUGCCACCACAGCCAUCCCAGCACUCGCUGGCCUUGUUAAACCAUUUAUCCCCAUGAAAAUGUAAAAACAUAAUGCAGAAAUGAACUGUGCUCAGUACCUGGAUGAGCUGUGUGCAGUACUGCAAGUGCUUAACUAUGGUUAUAUCGAGGCUGUCGCUUCCUGUGGUCAGGGGCAGAGGGCUGCCAGCAACACUGGUGCCUACCCCUGUGUCCUCAGUCAGGGCUUCGCUGAGGUGGCCCCUGGCUUCAGGGUGCUCAGUCCUGUAACUGCAGAGGGAGGAGGAGGUUAGUGUGGGGCUGUGGCUGCCUGGGCGGACAGACACACACUCACUCAGAGAUGGGCAACGAGCACGGAGCAGAGCUGAAAGCAGCGCCCUGGGGCCACACACCCCUUAGAAAGCCAGAAACAUGGUGAUGAAGACAUCAUGUCACGCGUGAGCAGAGGUACCUGAGGCACAGUAGGGACAGGCCUUGAACAACGUGGUGUCUGCACCAGCAAGUGUCUAUAACCUUGCUGUCACAUAGAGGCACAAACACUGGGGGUAAACACCCAUCUCUCAACAAAUUAUCUCCCAUAUUAGUCCAGAAGAAAUAGCAUUACAGUUUGUACUGUCUCAAGUACUGAGCUGCUGAGAGCAGGUCUAGGCUAUCAGCAUCUUCCUGGUGCUAAAUUCAAUGGUCUCUGCAGAAGGGAAACCACUGCUGGAAUAUGGGACAUGAUAUUUUCAUAGGCUGCUUUAGGCACACUGUGUACAGCUUAGUUUGCCAGUAGUUUCUGUAAGAACGUAAAGCUGUUCUCGCUGCGUUUUAAAUCAUUAUUUCCAACUUAGUCUUGUACAAAUGGUCCUCCCUGUGUUUCAAUACAAAGCCCGAGGUCAUGCCCCAGACUGUUAAGUGUGCUUGGCUGCAGGGCUGGGAGCGUCAGUGCCUGCGGUCCUUUCACUGAGUCGCAUGCAGCUAAAAGUGGAAGCAGGAAUCCACAUUGUCUGGGAUGAGCCCAGGGGGGAACAUGAGAUUUUUAACUUCAAGAUUUUAGUUAGGUUCCAAGUUAGCUUGUAACUAACUUCAAUUUCUUCUGCUCAAAUUAAAAUUAUGAUGAAGUGCCAGCUUAAAGCCAAAUCUUUAAAUCAAUGACCUAAGCUCAGAAUACCAGAACAGCAAGCAACACAAUUUUCUGAGUUUUUCUUCCCACCCUAUCUCAGCCUGGGAAGAGUCAACACGGAAAUGAUGGGAACUGAAUGGUUGUUGCUUGUUUGCACUCAGAAUUGUUUUGAACAGGCCAUGAUAAGGUGUGAGAAGCAGAGCUUCCCUGUUGAAAAGCACGUGGGCUGAGGGAGAUGCGCUCUGCUUUUUCUUUUUUCCUGCUCUAGUGCCACACGUAGGCAGUGGUAAGGAAGCAGAUGUGCUUUUAGGAUCUAAUGAUCAAAACACAGCAUCUUACGGUCACACAACAAUGGCAAACCACAACACAAAACACCACAGCUUUUUUUUUAAUUUUCUCUUUUUUUUUUUUUCCCCUCAAAAAGACCAGAAGUGAUGAAAGAAGGGCAGGUAACACGCAGGGCCAUGGACAGAGUACCAGUCAUCACUCUUACAUUCCAAAGGAAACCUACACCAUGCUGCUUAAAUCUGGCCCUGUGUUACUGUUAUUGACAAGCUUAAUCCACUGCAAAGACUCAUUCGGCUAGAGAGAAAAGACAAAGGGAGGGGGGAAAAACCACAGAGGAAUUAGUCAUUACAUCCAAGGAAAGCCAGGUCCAAACCUAUGUCAAGGAAGAGGCUCUGCCAGUAUUGAUGACAGCUUAAUUUAAUUUACCCAUCUCUUUUUGGGGGGUAGAUUGCACAUAUUUGAAAAGAUUAUCCUGGAAGCUAAAGAUUUGGUACGCAGCAGCCACCGGAAACCCUCUGACCCUAUAAACUCCUCCAGGAUUUGUCAAUCUUCCUUGAAUAAUGUAUGCACCGGGAUCCUCUGUUAGCGACAAAGAGCUGGGGGAUCAGUUUGGCUUAAGCACAGCUGGCAGUUGCUACAAACUUACCUAUUCUUCUCAACCUCAGUAUCUGAAAAUACUGAGUCUGCACCUCCUCCACCAUUACAAACCUCCUCACCACCACCAUCCUCAUCAUCAAAGUCAGAGGUGUUCAGGAAAUCAAAGCUUUCUAAAGCACUUUCAACUGUUAGACUUAAACUGGAGGACCUGCUUCGGCUUACUGCUGGCUUGCACUGCAAAAGCAGAACGAACCAAUGAAAACCCCAGAUAUUAGCUACUACUGAAAGAAAAACAUAGAGGAUAAAGCUUAAAAUUUUCAAAUUCUUCAUUUUAUUUAUCAUACUUCAUUUUAUUGGGUAUUUCAUUUCAAACCUUCAUAUUCAUAGCAUACACAAUCAAAGCCUGGAAACUAGAAAAUCCCUUUCUCCUCCCCUCCUACCUCCUCUUUCGCCCAAAGAGAAGACCUGCAAAGGCAAAAAUCAGCAUGUUUUAUAGAAAGAACAGGUACAUCUCAAGUCCAAGUGACACAGCUUUCAACAUCCUCCAAAAGGAGAGAUGGUAAUUAGAACACUGGAAUUUGAAAAAGAAAGGCACAUUGCAUAAUGGCUGUUACAGGUACAAAAGCAGAUUUAUAUAUAAAUACAUAUACAAUGGCACUACUGAAUGUAUUCCAGAUAUAACUCCAAUGAAGCUAAGCCAUAUUGGUCCCACAUCUGCAGAUGUAUACAUGUGAUGGAAGAGAGAGGACUUCUGCGGCCUUUGAAGCCACACUGCUUAUGAAGGAAAAUGCACUGAUUUCCUAGGUGACAGAAAAAGGUAGCAUUCUAACAUGCAAACCAACAGUGCCUAGAGAGGGAGGAAGUCAUCCUAUCUCACUGCUGGGAUGAAAUACCACCAAGGCCUUGCUGGUGCUGCAGGAAGUACCAAAGCCCUGGUUACAUGUGGUGGUUCAUCCAGGUGUGCCCACAGAUUUGACGCCAAGGUUAUUUUGCCAGAGCAAAGGAUGAUCAGCAGAUGGAGUUGUGUGAGGACUUCUGCACCUCAUGCACUGCAUGGCCACUGACGCAGGUACAAAGCUGCAUCUUCCAGUCCCAAGUAGGAACCAGGACUCUGUUUCAACUAGUAAAAGAAAACAAGCUGGCCUCUGAGUCUGGACUUGGCUCUUUUAGAACUGUCAAGGUUUGGAGUUUUGCUUCUAGUUUGUUUGCAUAAAUUGUAUGUUAGCAUUUAUGAUGCUUGUCAUCUUGAACUGACAGCACAGUCUUUCACUAUUCAAACACAGUCCACAACAUCUCCACAGGGCUGUCAUACUUGUGUGGCACAGAUGGCUUUAGCUGCUAGUUCUCUCGAGGCUGGUAGUGCAGCUUCUUCAGGCAAGAACAACAGCAACAUGUGGGCUUCAUGUUUCUCUGACCAUCUGACAUGGCCAAGAAAGCUUUCUUCAGACACAGCUGGAUUCCAGCUCAGCCUUCUAAGCCCAGCACAGUCACUGGGGAUGCUGUGCACCCACCUGCAAGCUGGUUAAUAGCCACAUGCAGAUGGAAAGCAGGUCUGGGAGAAGCAGCCAUCCCCAGUGUGCAGGGCUCCUGUCUGCACAUCUGUCCUCUCUCCCACCAUGCCUGUCCCUUUAUGGCU